rnacentral:rRNA from 1 species
UCCAGCCUACGGGACGCAGCAGUGAGGAAUAUUGGUCAAUGGGCUAAGGCCUGAACCAGCCAAGUCGCGUGAGGGAAGACGGACCUAUGGAUUGUAAACCUCUUUUGUCGGGGAGCAACGAGGCCACGUGUGGCCGAAGUGAGAGUACCCGAAGAAAAAGCAUCGGCUAACUCCGUUCCAGCAGCCGCGGUAAUACGGAGGAUGCGAGCGUUAUCCGGAUUUAUUGGGUUUAAAGGGUGCGUAGGCGGAACAUUACGUCAUCGGUAUAAUCGAGGGGCUCAACCCCUUUAAUCCGUUGAAACUGG